rnacentral:rRNA from 1 species
GCUCAGAACGAACGCUGGCGGCAAGCUUAACACAUGCAAGUCGAACGGAUUUUUAUCAUAGCUCGCUAUGAUAAAAAUUAGUGGCAGACGGGUGAGUAAUGCAUAGGAAUCUACCUAGUAGUAUGGGAUAGCCACUAGAAAUGGUGGGUAAUACUGUAUAAUCCCUGCGGGGGAAAGAUUUAUCGCUAUUAGAUGAGCCUAUGUUAGAUUAGCUAGUUGGUAGGGUAAAGGCCUACCAAGGCAGUGAUCUAUAGCUGGUCUGAGAGGAUGAUCAGCCACACUGGAACUGAGAUACGGUCCAGACUCCUACGGGAGGCAGCAGUGGGGAAUAUUGGACAAUGGGCGCAAGCCUGAUCCAGCUAUGCCGCGUGAGUGAGGAAGGCCUUAGGGUUGUAAAACUCUUUCAGUGGGGAAGAUAAUGACGGUACCCACAGAAGAAGUCCCGGCAAACUCCGUGCCAGCAGCCGCGGUAAUACGGAGGGGGCAAGCGUUGUUCGGAAUUAUUGGGCGUAAAGGGCA